rnacentral:rRNA from 1 species
CUACCCAUAAUAUAUUUGAAUAAGGCAUCUUAUUAAUAUUAAAGCUUCGGCACUUGAUGAUGGGUGUGCGGCUGAUUAGAUAGUUGGCGGGGUAACGGCCCACCAAGUCUACGAUCAGUAGCUGAUGUGAGAGCAUGAUCAGCCACACGGGCACUGAGACGACGGCCCGACUCCGUACGGGAGGCAGCAAGUAAGGAAUAUUGGACAAUGGACGAAAGUCUGAUCCAGCCAUGCCGCGUGAAGGAUUAAGGUCCUCUGGAUUGUAAACUUCUUUUAUAUGGGACGAAAAAAGGGCAUUCUUGUUCACUUGACGGUACCAUAUGAAUAAGCACCGGCUAACUCCGUG